AGGGUUUGAUUCUGGCUCAGGAUGAACGCUAGCGACAGGCUUAACACAUGCAAGUCGAGGGGCAGCACGGUGUAGCAAUACAUUGGUGGCGACCGGCGCACGGGUGAGUAACGCGUAUGCAACCUACCUAUCAGAGGGGAAUAACCCGGCGAAAGUCGGACUAAUACCGCAUAAAACAGGGGUUCCACAUGGAAAUAUUUGUUAAAGAUUUAUCGCUGAUAGAUGGGCAUGCGUUCCAUUAGAUAGUUGGUGAGGUAACGGCUCACCAAGUCUACGAUGGAUAGGGGUUCUGAGAGGAAGGUCCCCCACACUGGUACUGAGACACGGACCAG
rnacentral:rRNA from 1 species